UACGAAGGGGGCUAGCGUUGCUCGGAAUCACUGGGCGUAAAGGGUGCGUAGGCGGGUCUUUAAGUCGGGGGUGAAAUCCUGGAGCUCAACUCCAGAACUGCCUUCGAUACUGGAAAGCUCGAGUCCGGGAGAGGUGAGUGGAACUGCGAGUGUAGAGGUGAAAUUCGUAGAUAUUCGGAGGAACACCAGUGGCGAAGGCGACUGCCUGGACGAACAUUGACGCUGAGGUGCGAAAGCGUGGGGAGCAAACAGG
rnacentral:rRNA from 1 species